AUCUUGAUAUUUGACUGCACAUUGUUCGUAGUACUUGCUUAAUUCAUCAUAUUUCUUCAUGGUUAAAAUAUAUAUAUUAAUAAUGAAGACAAAAAGAAAAAGAAAACUGUCUCCAGUUUUUCAAGUCUAAGGAUUAUAACCUUUAUUUAAGAGCAAAUACCAGCUGGGUGAAAAGUCAAGGCCAACCAACAUGCAUGAAGGUCAACUACAUCAUGAUUACCAAAUCUUUAUGAUAUGAGAAGAAAAAGAUAAGACAAAGGAAACAUAGCAUGAAGAGUCUUCAGAACAUCAAAUAUCAAAGCAGCUUAGCAAGGUUUUUAUCUGCUCAAGACUCAACAUUUUGAUGUGAUUGAAAAGCUUCAAAUCCCAAUUCUUUAGGUUGACACAGUCCCCAGGACACGUAGUCAGAAUCCUGAGGGCACAUGAGGCUGUCAGAGUGUGGCCGGCUGCAUUGAGGGUAUGACUCUGUCCCCCCUCGAUGUCAUCUGUUGGUCUACUCUCAUCAUUCUGUUAUUUUUGUGGAGCUGCUGAAGCUACUAGUGGAUAGUGAUGGACUGUUCUCCUCACAGAUUUUCAGAUGAACUCUCAUUUCUUCUUCUUUAAUUUCUUGUGUCUGUUCCCAGCCCACAGUGUCUUCUUUUCAUUCUCCUGACACCUUUCAGAGCCUUGGAGUUCCUGAGGAUAGGUUGGUCUAUGAUGGUGUGACGUCUAUGAUGGUUGGUUACUACCUGGCUUCCAGCUAGACAUUCCCACAUUGCUUCCAAAUUGUGGAACGAGAAACCCUGGCUGAAACUUUACAAUCAUGUACGACACAUCAGAAGCAUUUCAUCCGGGCUCAGAAAGCCUAGGUGACGAGGAGUGUGUCCUCACUCAAGAGCGUGGAGGUUUCACUCUUCUGAUCGAGGGGCACCAGUCAAACUGAACCUUUGCAUUUAAAGGAACCCAGGGAAGGUGUCCAUUGUCUAGGAAAGAAAAGAAGACAUUGUUACAAAGUGGGAACUGGACUGCAGAAAUACUUAAUCAAAGUAGUAAAUGGGUGACAAUUUAUUGUACUGCUCAAGACAUUUGAGGGAGUAAGUCAUUAAAAUAACUUAUUCCUUA